GAAUCAGUGUACAAAAGAUAGUUUCUUAAAUUUUAGUUCAAAGUUUAAAUACAUUUUUAGAAAAUGAGAAUGUUUGUGUAGAAAUUGACAUUAGGGAAGUCUCAAAUUAAAAAAAAAAAUACAACUCAGUGUGUUGCCACUCACCUGUUUCUUUUGCUCAAUUCAGAUGAAAAUCAUGAAUCAGUGAAGUGCAGCUCUGCUGUGCUGUCCUGAUGACCUGGGAAUUAUCCCAGGGGUACAGACAGCUGACACAGCCUGCUGCUGGUCACCACCAGCUUGUGCCAGACACCUCUCCUGUCAAAAACAAAUCUCAGCCUUCACAGAUUACAUCCUAACCCACCACAACUUAACUAGAAUAUGAUUUUGCUCUAACAUCUCAAACUUCCCAAAUAGCUGAGAGGCCCCCAAGACCAAAGACAGUUUUUGAAGAAGGUUGCACAUGGGUUUGAGUAAUUAACAGAAAACAAUGAGAAGCUGAGAAAUGAGCUCCCAUAACAGUGCUUUGAACAAGUGUAUAUUCAGACUCACCAAAACUGCUUUUUUGCCUUCUUCUGAGGCCAUGAUGUUUGUGACUACCACAUGAAGUCUAUGAGUAUUUAAUUAUCUGAUGAAUCAAUGAUGGAAUAAUUUUCCCAGUGUUAAGCGGUAAUUGAGACUUCAAGCAAAUAUUCAAAGCCAUAACUCUGAGGUCAUUGUUGUGAGGAGCCUGUUGCACUCAGUGUUUGAAGCCAAGACCAAGCCAGAAAAGAGUUACUCACUCUAAGGGGGCAAGUAGAUUCCCUCACAACCCAGCUUUUUCCCCCUAGAAAGAGGAGAUUUCAGACUACCAGAAUCAUCAUAAGGAAGUCAUUCCUGCUUUACCCUGAAAAGAUAAGUAACAUUAAAUAACUCAACACUAAGCAAUCAGCUUCCUCUCUAUUUGCUAUAGUUUUAAUAUGUCCCUAAAUUCCAUAUAUUAGAUGCAGCACCAUUAAGAAGUAGAACCACUUGGGGUGAUUAUUUCAUGAAGGCUCAGCCCUUUUGACAGGAUUAGUGCUGUUAUUGCAAGAGUGGGUAAAUGUUGUAGAAGUGAGUUCAUGAUAAAAUUAGUGGCUUUUGUUUCUCAUGCAAAGGAUUCUGCCAUGGCCAUGUUAUAAUAUCAAGAAGACUUUCACCAAAUGUAUCCCCUUGACCUUCCACUACUAAGCUGCCAGAAAAAAAAUCUAUGUACUGUAUAAAUUGCCCAGACUCAUGUAUUAUUAGAACAGUACUGCUAUUGUUUCCUUCUUCCCACUUUACAAAUACCACUGUUCUGCUGCUGCCUAGUGGAAUUUUUCAUUCAAUUUUGUACAAUGAAGGCUGCUUUUAUUAUUAAUUAUAAUAAAAACAGAUCAUUAACUACAUUUACUCUAAAUAAAUAACUCAAUAAGUUCAUCAUUCUAAAUUUCACACAAACUGAUAAAUUAUGCCUCCAAUAUAUUGAGUUUUGUGUCACAAUAGAAAACUAAGAAUAAACUCUAAUAUAUGUGUAAAAAUACAUUAUGCACUAAAUAAAUAUAUGUAUUCACAAAAACAGUGUAGUAAAUGAAAGUGAAGUUGCAAAACUAUUAAAAUAUGGAAGCAGAAAUAGCACUCAGGUAAACCAAAGAACAGAAACAAAGAAAAAAACAAUGAAAUGCAAAUGUAAGCCUUAACACAUCAAUAAUUUCAGUGAAUAUAAACAUUAUUACUUUAACAAUUCAUAGGAAUUCUCAGAAUGUUUUUAAAUGGCCCAAAAUACAUGUUAUCUAUAAGAAACUUUCAUUGUAAAAUAUAAGAAGUAUACACUGUAUACUGUGUAAAAUUAUAAAAGAAAUAUAUCAUGUAAACAACAAACAAAUGGAUUGACUACACCAAUUCCAGAAAACACAAACUUUAAGAAAAUAAAAUUCUGAAGCAUAGGGAAGACCUUAUAUAAUGUUAAUAAGUUCAAUUUACUAUAAAGAUUCAGCAAUUCUAAAUAUAUUUGAACAAAAUGGUCAUAACUACAAAAUGUACUGUGUUAAACUUGAUGGAAUUGAAAAGAGAAAUAGAUUAGUUUCUAUAGUUGGGAAUAUGAACACUUCUCUCUCAAGAGUUGAUAGAGUAGUAAAUUAGUAAUGAUAGUGUUCCACAACAUUAUCAUUAACCAACAAAUAUUUAUGAAGCACAUCUUUUAUCAAACAGCAGAACAUGUCUUUUUUUUCAGUUGCUCAAAUAGCGUAUUCAAAGAUAGGCCAUAUAUGAGCCAUAAAACAAAUCUCAGUGAAUUUAAAAGAAUUGAAAUCCCAUGGAUUUUCUCCAAAUGCAAUGAAAUUAGACUAUAAAUCAAUAAAAUGAGAAAACAUGAACAUCUCCAAACAUUUGAAAACUAAGUUACAGAUUUCUCAAUAAUCUACUGGUCAAAGGAGGAAGACUCAAAGGAAAUUAAAAAAUAUAUUGAAUUGAAUGAAAAUGAAGAUAAAGCAUAUCAAAAUAUGUGACACAGCAUAUAAGAAUGUGUGGGUCACAAGUAUAGUAUUGUUCACAAGGAUGUUUUUAGGUAUGAACAAAUCUCAAAUCAACAGCAUAAGCCCACAAAUCAAUAAGCAAGAAAGUGUAGGAGAAAAUAAACCCAAAGCAACUACAAGGGAAUAAUAAGAGCAUAAAUAAAAAGGUAAUAUAGAAAAAUCAAUGAAACAAAGAGUUGGUUCUUUGAAAAUUUCAGCAAAAUUGACAAAUAUCUAAUAAGAUAGACAAAAGAGAUAUGAAUUAUUGAUAUUUGAAAGUAAAACGUAGUAAUAUUACUACUACUGUUGUAUGCAUUAAAAAUUAGGGAAUCUGACACCGUAAUGCAAAAAAGGCAAUUUUUGAACCUAUGUGAUUUCAUAGAAGAAUUCAAGUAAUUGUUAAAUGAGAUAUUAACAUAAAUUAUAUACAACAUGAUAAUUUAUAAUUCAUUUUUAAAGCUAGUAAGAUGCGUGACACUGAAACCAACAUAUUAAAAAUACUACGGUCCAUAAAUCUUAUGGAUGCAGGUUCAAAAAAUCCUUACAAAUUUACAAAGAGAACUUAGUAUUAUAUAAGAAUUACACCAAACAAUAAGGCAAAAAGUGGAGUUUAUUCUAGGCAUGAAAAACUGAUUCAAUAUUCAAAAGUUAAUGUUAUCAAUCAUAUGAACAGAUUAAAGAAAGAUCACAAAGACUUUGUGACUUCAAAGACUUUGAUAUAAAAACAGAAACUCUGAAACAGUUGGAAGGUGACAUAGGGAAAACACUUCAAGCCACAGGUACAGGCAAAGAGUCCUUCAAUAUAAAUCUAACAGCACACAAAAUAAUGUCAAUUAUCAAUGAAUGGGAUAAAGAAUAUAUAAAAACUCAACACCCCCAAAAAACAAAUGGCCCAAUCCAAAAGUGAAAAAUUAACUGAAUAGAUACUUCUCAAAGAACUACAAAUAAAUACAUGAAAAAAUGUUCAAAAGUUUUAAUCAUUACAGAAAGGAAAAUGUGAACAACUUUGAGAUUCCAUUUUACUCCAGCCAAUCAGAAUGUCUACCAUUAAAAACACAAUAACCAAUGAGCAUUUGGCAAGGAUGGGGGAGAAAAGGAACCCUUCUUCAUUGUUGGUAGAAAUGUAAACUAGUACAAUCAAUAUUCAUUGUUUUCUGUGCUAUUGAAUUCUAUCCAGGAUGAAGGAGAAAAAGGAACCUGAAUUGCUGAUGAGAAUUUAAACUAAUUCAACUACUAUGGAAAUCAGUGUGGAGAUUCUUUUAAAAA